rnacentral:rRNA from 2 species
GAAUGCUGACAUAAGUAACGAUAAAGCGGGUGAAAAGCCCGCUCGCCGGAAGACCAAGGGUUCCUGUCCAACGUUAAUCGGGGCAGGGUGAGUCGACCCCUAAGGCGAGGCCGAAAGGCGUAGUCGAUGGGAAACGGGUUAAUAUUCCCGUACUUGGUGUUACUGCGAAGGGGGGACGGAGAAGGCUAUGUUGGCCGGGCGACGGUUGUCCCGGUUUAAGCGUGUAGGUGUGUGUUCCAGGUAAAUCCGGUUCACUUUAACACUGAGGCGUGAUGACGAGGCACUACGGUGCUGAAGCAACAAAUGCCCUGCUUCCAGGAAAAGCCUCUAAGCAUCAGGUAACAUCAAAUCGUACCCCAAA